GACGAACGCUGGCGGCGUGCUUAACACAUGCAAGUCGAUCGGAAAGGCCCUGCUUGCAGGGUACUCGAGUGGCGAACGGGUGAGUAACACGUGGGUGAUCUGCCCUGCACUUCGGGAUAAGCCUGGGAAACUGGGUCUAAUACCGGAUAGGAGCCAUUUUUAGUGUGAUGGUUGGAAAGUUUUUUCGGUGUAGGAUGAGCUCGCGGCCUAUCAGCUUGUUGGUGGGGUAAUGGCCUACCAAGGCGGCGACGGGUAGCCGGCCUGAGAGGGUGGACGGCCACAUUGGGACUGAGAUACGGCCCAGACGCCUACGGGAGGCAGCAGUGGGGAAUAUUGCACAAUGGGCGCAAGCCUGAUGCAGCGACGCCGCGUGGGGGAUGACGGCCUUCGGGUUGUAAACUCCUUUCGCUAGGGACGAAGCUUUUUGUGACGGUACCUAGAUAAGAAGCACCGGCUAACUACGUG
rnacentral:rRNA from 1 species